CAUACACACUGCCCCUUAUACACCCACACUGUCCCCAUACACAAACACUGCCCCCAUACACACACACUGCCCCCCCAUACACACACACUGCCCCCAUACACUGCCGCCCCAUGCAGACACAUUGCCCACACUCACACAUACACUGCAAUACUCACACACACACACACACACUGCAACUGUUACACACACAUACUGUACCACAAAUACACUGCAUCCCUGACAUACACUGCCGCCCUCACACACACUACAACCUUCACACACACACACUGCUCACACACUGUCCCCCUCACACACACACACACUGCACCACUCACACACACCACUGCUCCUAUGCCCCACUACUGCCCCAUUUCCCAGCAAACCUCAGGUAAGUUGUCAAACUGUUCUUAAACGGUUUGACUACUUACUCUGGGAGGGGGUACCGGCACUAUUGACACCAUAACCACUACACUGAGCUGUAGUGGUUAUUGUGUCUGGAUUAUUUCUUUAAAUAAUCUACAAGUGCCCCACCCGAGAUCAGGCUCUGGAUCCGCCACUGCUUCCCGCACUUGUGAACUGGAAUCCGCACCGGAGUAGGGCAGCCCGCAGUUAUUGUAGCUCCUGUCCUUAAAUUGUACCUGGCCAGCCCAGUCCUCACUUGACCCCCAUGGAAGCCACCCACACUGCUAGAUAUACACAGAGCUGCAGAAGACGCCUCCCCUUCAUACAAAUAAUACAAUCAGCAAAUACACAAACAACUCCACAAGCAGCCUCUCACAUGCAAUACCACAAGCAGCCACACACAUACACACAACACCAAACACAAAAUGUGACGUCAUCCAUACACACAAUUUCACAAGCAGCUCCCAUGCACAUCCCACAUUCAUAGUUAUCAUACACAACACCACAAACUACUCAUGAACAUAUACAAUAUAACGGCCCACAUACACACAAAUACAACAUUACAAAGCAACUGCAGCACCCACAAAUAACACAAACAAAAUACGGCAACCUACACACCUCAGUUUAAAUAAAUAGGACUGGCUCAACAAGGGAUUUCAAUAUCUUGUUUUGCACAGUACUACUAAUAGGUUGACUACCCCUGCACUAGUGAAUACUUUAAAUGCAGUGGAAGCUAAAUGUGUCCUUUCUGGUUGAAGGAUUUGUUAUUAUUAUGUAGCUAUAUAAAGAUUGAAUGCUUGGCACCUUCAUGCUUCGUGAAAUUGUAAUCUGAUUUUUGAGUGUAAAUGCAUUUUUAACUGGCCCUGGUCUUCUCAUGUUCCUCAAUGACUAGUUAUACAUUCUAUUAAUUGCUCUUAAAUGAACAUUCUAAUUUUAGGAAUACACACGUGAAUUCCUGCUCUUAUAAUGUGUUCCUAAACAGUUAGUUGCCCCUCACCCCUCCGAUAAGUAAAAUAAAGUUAUUUUCUUACCUUACUUCCCUUGGUGUGCUGGUCUCGCCAUUGCCACCACUCCUCCUCUGAUUGAGCUCAUUAUUACUGAAGUUCUCAGUCAAUCCAAUGUUUUCCCAUAGGAAAGAACUAAAGCGCACGCGCAGCAAUCACCACUAUGUGCCAAUCAGCAUCUCCUCACAUAGAUGCACUGGUUCAAUGCAUCCAUAUGGGGAAUGUUCAAGGUCUUCUUGCAGAGCAUGAAGACACUGAACAUCAGUCUUGCAAAGAUUGGAAGGGUCUCUAGUGGCUGUAAGAAUGACAGCUACUAGAAGUGAUCUUAGGCACAAAUGUAAACACUGCCUUUCCUCAAAAAAGGCAGCGUCUACAAUUGUCAUAUUAUAUGGUACAGGCACGAAGCAUGAAGCUGUAGUGACUCUGUUGCUUUCAGUGUUCCUUUAAUAAUUUAUUACCCCCAAAUCUCAUGGUCAUGGCAUUCUUAUCCAUGUAUACAUCUUUCCAUUUCCUAUGUUUUAAUGUUGAUAUUAUGGUUACUGUAUAAUCAUUUCUCCAUUUAUAAUGAAGGUAUAGUGAGAAGUCCAGUACCUCAACUGUUCACAAUAAAAAAACAAAACCCCAAAACAGUAUAGAAAGCAACACAAUGUAAUAAUUAAAAGGGCACAUUUUAUUUACCAUCAGAUGCUGUUCAUUCAUGAAUCUCAUUAUCUAUAGCUACAUGACUUGAAAUGGUUAGAGCAAAGUUUUUUUUUGACUCACAAUUAACUGCUUUAAUCGUACAUUCCCCUCCACAGCUGUCCCUACAUCACUUGGACAGUUCUCAUCUUAUUACUGACACAGCAGACAGAUAUCCACUUUUCACACAAAUCAAACCAACAUUUCAAAUAACCAGAGAGGCACUUUUCUCAUGGGGCAUAGCUGAAGGUGUGAUUGAAGUGAGGUCCCUUUCUAGUUUUUAAUAUUAUGUUUUCUUCUCCCAUAUAUUUACCAAAUAUGUGUUUGCAAGGUCUAAAAAAGAAAAUGAAAUAUAAAUAUCCACACUGCUGUGUUUACCUUUUGCACCAAAAUAAGCUCUUUCACACGUCAUGUGUCCUUAAGGGGUUAAGCAAUAUUGUUCCAGCAGAAAAGCAAUGGUUUACAUAACAGGGUUAAAAAGAGAGGGACAUAAGUUAGGCCCAGUUACCAAAGCCUUAUGAUUUGGUGUCCAGAAUAAAGUGGAGGGUUUACUUCACUUGUCCUUCCUGCUCCAAUCUCCUUUACUUCUCCUUCAUUUGACACAGUCUUCUUUUUCUUCUGACACUAUCUUCUUUCCUCCUUGGCUCCUUCUGCUCCUUUACCUUUCUGCUUCUUUUACGCCCUUCAGCUCCAUUCUCUUUCCGAUCCCUUUCUGCUCCUUGCGGACCUUUUCUACUCCUUCUCCUACUUUACCUUUGUGCUCCUUGCUGUCCCUUCCUGCUCUUUCUCCUACUUUACCUUUGUGCUCCUUCUGCCCCUUCAAGCUCCUUGCUACCCUUUUCUGCUCCUUCUCCUACUUUACCUUUGUACUCCUUGUGAUUCUUUCUGCUCCUUUACCUUUGUGCUCCUUCUGUCCCUUCUUGCAGACCAUUCCUGCUCUUUGCUACCCCUUCCUCCUUCUUGCUGACCGUACCUGCUUCUUGCUGACCCUUCCUGCUCAUUUCUGCUCCUUAUCCUACUUUACAUUUGUGUUUCUUCUGGCCCUUGCAGCUCAUCGCUGACCCUUUCUGCUCAUUGCUGCCCCUUCCCGUUUCUUUCUGCUCCUUCUCCUACUUUACCUUUGUACUCCUGAUUCUUUCUGCUCCUUCACCUUUGUGCUCCUUCUGAUUCUUUAUGCUCCUUCACCUUUGUGCUCCUUCUUCCCCUUUCUGCUCCUUGCUGACUCUUUCUGCUCCUUGCUGCCCCUUCCUGCUCCUUGCUGCCCUUUCCUGCUCCUUGCUGACCCUUCCUGCUCAUUCUCCUACUUUACGUUUGUGCUCCUUAUGCCCCUUCCAGCUUAUUGCUGACGCUUGCUGCUCCUUGAUGUCCCUUCCUGCUCAUUUCUCUUCCUUCUCUUUUCUGCUCCUUGAUGUCCCUUCCUGCUCAUUUCGGUUCCUUCUCCUUUCUGCUCCCUACUUUACCUUUGUGCUCCUUCUGUCCCUUUCUGCUCCUUGAUGCCAUUUACAGCUCCUUGCUGAUCCUUCCUACUCCUUCCUGCUCCUUGCUUCCAUUUCCUGCUCCUUGCUGACCCUUCCUGCUCCUUGCUGCCCCUUAUUGCUCAUUUCUGUUCCUUUGUGCUCCUUCUCCUAGGCUGCCCCCCAUGUCUCACUUACCUGAUCUGUAGGCUGCCCCCCAUCUCUCACUUACCUGAUCUGUAGGCUGCCCCCCAUCUCUCACUUACCUGAUCUGUAGGCUGCACCCCAUCCCUCACUUAACUGAUCUGUAGGCUGCCCCCAUCUCUCU